rnacentral:rRNA from 1 species
GACGAACGCUGGCGGCGUGCCUAAUACAUGCAAGUUGAGCGCUGAAGGUUGGUACUUGUACCAACUGGAUGAGCAGCGAACGGGUGAGUAACGCGUGGGGAAUCUGCCUUUGAGCGGGGGACAACAUUUGGAAACGAAUGCUAAUACCGCAUAAAAACUUUAAACACAAGUUUUAAGUUUGAAAGAUGCAAUUGCAUCACUCAAAGAUGAUCCCGCGUUGUAUUAGCUAGUUGGUGAGGUAAAGGCUCACCAAGGCGAUGAUACAUAGCCGACCUGAGAGGGUGAUCGGCCACAAUGGGACUGAGACACGGCCCAAACUCCUACGGGAGGCAGCAGCAGGGAAUCUUCGGCAAUGGACGAAAGUCUGACCGAGCAACGCCGCGUGAGUGAAGAAGGUUUUCGGAUCGUAAAACUCUGUUGGUAGAGAAGAAAGUUGGUGAGAGUGGAAAGCUCAUCAAGUGACGGUAACUACCCAGAAAGGGACGGCUAACUACGUG